UUGGGAAACUCUAGCUCUACUAAUCUCUACUAAUUGAAGACAAGCCCAUCCCUCUCACUCUCUGUCACAACUAAAAAAUCAAAGCCAAAGCAACAGCAGAAGCAUCUGAGCGAGAUAAAGAAAUCUUCUUCUUCAGCUCUCCUUCUCUUUUACGUUUCUCUAAUCAAAAAUCACCAAAGCCGUAUCAGCUAAAGAGAAAGCAAAAGAAAAGCACCUCCUUCCGCUGUUCCUUCCUCCUGCGCGCGCUCUCUCUCAUAUCAUUACACUCAACUACCUCCUUAGACCCGCCUUUUUCUCUUCUUUUACUCCCACCUCUCCGUACGUUAAUAUGCCCGUCGUCUUCUCACCCCAUCAGUCAAAAUCGCAAUCUCGCUUUUUCUUUCUCCAAAAUGGCGGAUUGAUUUGGAAAUAUGUCCAAGACGAGAGCUUUAUAGCGCUGGCUUUCUUUAGCUAAAACGGUACCCGGGAUUCCUGCUAAUUGCAGAGGCUUCCGGUCAUUUCUUACGGCUCUAUCGGGCUCUUGUGUUUGCUGCUGAUUCUCUUGAAGCAGAUGCUUUCUCCGCUAGGAAGGUGAUCUUUUGCUUCUCUAUCUGCUUAGGGUUUUUGGUGUUUCGAGGAAUGGCGGAAAGUGGAGGAGUAGGAGCGAAAGUUCGGGUGGUUCGCUGCCCCAAAUGCGACAAGCUGCUACCUGAGCUCGCCAAUUUCACUCUCUACCGCUGCGGCGGUUGCGACGCUACUCUUCAAGCGAAGAAGCAACCCUCGGUUUUUGAAGCUUCCCCGGAGAAGUCUGAUACAGAGUUGAGCAAAUACUCUCAGAAGAACGCGGAAGUUGAUGCGGACUGUGAUAAGUUUGAAUUUAAGGAGGGGCAACGAUUGAGCAAAACUUUUGAUGUUGGUUUGAUUAAUGGUAACGAGAAAAGAGAAGGCUUUGAAGAAGGAGAGUUGCCGAUAAUGGAUGUUCUUCCAACAGUCAAAUCUGAUGCUAGAGAUGGAAAAUUUCAGAACCGACCAAUGGGUUGUCCUAAUAUUCCUAGUGACAAUGUAGAUGGGUUGGCAAAAAGAAAGGUGGAAGAGAACCAUGAAACCAAAGCUCAGAUCUUGUUUUCAAACGGCCACUCUAAAUUUCGGCAAACAAAAGCUUGGGAAGGUGAAGAAAUGGCCAAAAAGGCUCCUUUUCGAGGAACACCGAAGGUCCACAUAGGAGAUAUUCAGACAGCUUCUUAUCCUCUUGCUGGUCCAUCAAACUACAAUUGUAGUAUUAAUCACAUUAAUUCUGAGGGUGCUGCAAAAAGGCAGAACAUAGAGGGUUCUGACCGAGUUGAGCUCCUCGAACAAGACCGAGCUGAGUUGCUGAGAAAACUGGAUGAGUUGAGAGAUCAGAUCAAACAAUCCUGUGAGGUUGUUGAAGCCCCCAAAGAAAGAGUUUCUUCCAUCAACAACAUGUCAGCAUCUUUGAGCUCUCAUGGCCACAACGGUAGAGGUAGCUGGUUUCCAAAUGGCUCUUCUACCUCGAAUCGUAAUUCUUCGCAGCAUUCUAAUGGGCACAAUGCGGAAAUGCCUCGAUUUUAUCCUUCAACACAAUUGCAGAAUGGUGUUCAUGGAUACAGAGAGACUUCCAGACCAUAUUCUCUUCCCCCUUUUAACCUCCAUGGCCAGUAUGCACAGAGAUCCUCCAAUGGGUAUAUCUACGGGCACGUAGAUUCAGAUCCAGUUAGUUCUUAUCAUAAUGAUGGAUUCUAUCAUCAACCUGCCUGCGCAUGCAUGCACUGCUACAAUGGCCAUUGGUUGCCGCCGGCACAAGUUCCAUUAAGGGGUCCUCCAUGUCCUUUAGGAAAUCAUGGUUUCUAUCCGGCUGAUGGUCCUCCCAUGUUUGGAUCACAAGGUUACAACCAUGGAGUUCCCAAAGCUCCUCUCCAUUCCUAUGAGCCACCCCAUCAACAUAAACCCGCCUUCGCUAGAAAAGAAAGACGACCUUGUCGCCCUGUCGCAGGGGCAGCGCCUUUCAUAGUAUGCUACAAUUGCUCUGAGCUGUUGCAAAUCCCUGAGGAGAUUCUCGAGAUGGGUAAGCAUCAGCAUAAGCUGCGCUGCGGUUCGUGCUCUCAAUUGAUUUCAUUCGAGCUCGACGGAAGAAGACUGGUUUCUUCGAAUAACACAACGACUUUGCCGGGGAAUUCAGCGAACAAUCUCAAUUUAAGUGAUGGCUCUAAAGAUGUUUUGCAGUGUCAGGGAAACAUCAACCGGCGCCAAGUUAUCUCAUACUCAAUCGAUUAUGAUAGCCCGGGCUAUUUCGAUGUGAGAUCUUCCAAUGAGAAGAUUGUUAUGCCCUCUUUUCCUGUUUCAUGCAAUGAAGUAGUAGAAAAAGGGUGUGGACAUCUUAGUGAUUCUGAGAAAAUGCAUGGGCUUUGUUCAUCAUCAGGGACGUCCGGCAGUCCGGAUAGCGUGAUUUGCGCACGAGAUGUUCCGAAUUCUACCGAGAUUCCUGGUGAAGUUGAUGGUAUUGCUCGUGUUCCGAGUUUACCUCUUCGUGAGCAUUUUGGGUACUCUUCUGGGAAUAAAAUAGGUGAUGAUCCUGGGAGUGGAAGUAGAAGCAAGCGCUCUGAUCAGGACAGAAUCACUUCCUAUACAGGCAAUUUCAAACAGAACUCUGUGAAAGAUGUGCCAGUGGCGACAGAGAUGGAUUUAUCGGCUGAAGAUUAUCCGAAUGCUGGUUUUUCUCAAGAUUCAUGGGAUGUGAGCAAAGAAGAGGAGGAGCAUCGGAUUACUAAGGGCGGGGAUUCGUUCCUCGCCGGUCUCAUUAAGAAAAGCUUCAAGGAUUUCUCUCCUUUCAAUCAAUCUAACGAAACCGGGAAGUCUAGAGUUUCGGUUAACGGGCAUUCUAUAACCGAUCGCUUGGUUAAGAGGGCGGAAAAGCUCGCUGGACCAAUCCAUCCUGGGUUUUAUUGGUAUGACUACCGUGCCGGAUUCUGGGGUGUGAUGGGACAGGCUUGUCUUGGAAUAAUUCCACCAUUUAUCGAGGAGUUCAAUUAUCCCAUGAACAAGAACUGCGCGGCCGGAAAUACUGGUGUUGUGGUGAAUGGGAGAGAGCUUAAUGCUAAAGAUUUAACUUUGCUUGCCGGUCGAGGCCUUCCUGCAACUGAAGGCAGAUCAUUUAUUAUUGAGAUUUCUGGUAAGGUUUGGGAUGAAGAUACUGGUGAAGAGCUUGAUUGUCUCGGCAAGCUUGCGCCUACGGUUGAGAGAGUUAAGCGUGGAUUCGGCAUGCGAGUUCCUGGAGCUAAUUCCUGAAUUGAUUACGCACCGAAAAGCUUCCAUCCUGCUUCGUCUCCUGGAACAACUGGACUGUAACAAUGUUCUUUGCCUGUAUUUCAUCUUUUAUCAGUAUAUCUUGUGGUUUAUUCAUAUGUUCAUGGGUGAUAAUGUGGCAUGCUGAGAAGAUUUAAACUGCUCCUGUGUUGAAUCAGGCUUAGAAUGUUUGUAUGUUAAGGGCCCUUUUGAUUGUUUUUUUUUAAAUAGAACAUAAUGUUCAGUUAAAUUUGAUGUUUAUUUCUAUAAUACCAAAGUCUUUAACCUC